UUAUCAAAAACAUGUCUUUUUGGUGUAUUUAAAAAGUCUGGCCUGCCCACUGAUUAAUUUUGAAGGGCCGCGGUAUUCUGACCGUGCAAAGGUAGCAUAAUCAUUAGUCUUUUAAUUGAAGGCUGGUAUGAAUGGUUUAACGAGGUAUUAACUGUCUCAUUUUAAUUUUUUGAAUUUAACUUUUUAGUUAAAAGGCUAAAAUGAAUUUAAAGGACGAGAAGACCCUAUAGAGCUUUAUAUUAAAUUUAUAUAGUUGAGUAUGGUUGUUGAUUUAAUUAUGUAAUAUAAAUAUUUGGUUGGGGUGACUUGAAGAUUAAAUAAACUCUUUAUUAUUUAAAAAACAUUAAUAUAUGAUUAGUUGAUCCAUUAUUGAUGAUUAUAAGAUUAAGUUACCUUAGGGAUAACAGCGUAAUUUUUUUUAAGAGUUCAUAUCAACAAGAAAGAUUGCGACCUCGAUGUUGGAUUAAGGAAUAUUAUUGGGUGUAGCAGUUCAAUAAAUAGGUCUGUUCGACCUUUAAAUCCUUACAUGAUCUGAGUUCAA
rnacentral:rRNA from 1 species